UACGAGUGCCCCGAGCGUUAUCCGGAAUCAUUGGGCGUAAAGCGCACGUAGGCGGCCUCGCAAGUUGGAUGUGAAAUCCCUCGGCUCAACCGAGGACGUGCAUCCAAAACUGCGGGGCUUGAGUACUGAAGAGGAUCGCGGAAUUCCCGGUGUAGAGGUGAAAUUCGUAGAUAUCGGGAGGAACACCGGUGGCGAAGGCGGCGAUCUGGGUAGAUACUGACGCUGAGGUGCGAAAGCGUGGGGAGCAAACAGG
rnacentral:rRNA from 1 species